GUUUCGGAUAACGGGAUUACUGGGCGUAAAGCGCGCGUAGGCGGUUUGUUAAGUCAGAUGUGAAAUCCCCGGGCUCAAACUGGGAAUGGCAUUUGAGACUGGCAGGCUAGAGUGUGGUAGAGGUGAGUGGAAUUUCAGGUGUAGCGGUGAAAUGCGUAGAGAUCUGAAGGAACAUCAGUGGCGACUCCCACACAGUGGGCCAUUACUGACGCUGAGGUGCGAAAGCGUGGGUAGCAAACAGGAAUAUAACCCUGCCACCCCCCACCAAAAAAAAAAAA
rnacentral:rRNA from 1 species